GAGAGAUCUCCGGUUCCAGCGGCGUGUUCGGGGAGGAGGCGAGAAUGGGUGGUGGGGGGUGAUUUCCUUCUCAGCUCCCAGCUGAAGCAGCAGUCGGGGUUCCUGCUGCAGCGGGGCGGUGGAGAUUGCAUCUCCCCGAUCUUGCAGCGCCGAUGAAGCGAUCUCAGGAGUUUGGACAGGUGUGGGAGGACUUAGACGAUGUGUGGGUUUAUGCUUGAGAUUCAGGCAAUCCUCUUCAGUGUGUUGUGAAGUACGUGCUGUAAAAUAAGCAGUUUGCAAAAACUGCAUGAUGAAAAUCACGGCUGAUAUAGAAAUAAAGAAAUAACCACUGAACCGCACGCAGUGGUUCAGACCAGGCUGAUGCAACACCUACUCAGGAGACACUUCGUGAAUUUGAUUACUUUGGUAUCAAGAGACCAAUGCAAAGAGGCCAAACAUGAAGCAGCCCUAUAACAAGGCUCCAUGUGCUCCUCAUCCAUUGCUCUAAGUACCCCUGUUCUUGACUCCAGACUGAAGGCUUCCUUUGACAGUGAUUGAUGGCCACCCUCUCACAGGAAGAAUGACUAACUCCAACCUGAUAGUCCACCACCUUACAAGUCCUCCUCACUGCAGUACAAGGCCAGAAGACAGCUCAGCUGGGGGAACCAGCUGUAGUCAGAAGUG